rnacentral:rRNA from 1 species
AUUGAACGCUGGCGGCAGGCCUAACACAUGCCAGUCGAACGGUAACAGGAAGAAGCUUGCUUCUUUGCUGACGAGUGGCGGACGGGUGAGUAAUGUCUGGGAAACUGCCUGAUGGAGGGGGAUAACUACUGGAAACGGUAGCUAAUACCGCAUAACGUCGCAAGACCAAAGAGGGGGACCUUCGGGCCUCUUGCCAUCGGAUGUGCCCAGAUGGGAUUAGCUAGUAGGUGGGGUAACGGCUCACCUAGGCGACGAUCCCUAGCUGGUCUGAGAGGAUGACGAGGCACACAGGAAAUAAGAAACCGUCCAGACUCCGACGGGGGUCCGCAGUGGCGAAUAUUACAAAGUGGGCUCAAGCGUGAUAAAAUAAUGCCGCGUGGAUGAAGAAGGCAAUCGGAUUGUAAAAUACUUUUAGAGGUGAGGAAGGGAGUAAAGUCAAUACACUUGCUCAUUGGCGUUACCCGAAGAAGAAGCACAGGCUAACUCCGUG